GGGGCAGCCAGAGUAGCUGAUCAAGCAAGAUAGGCCUUGUGUAGUGGAUAUCCACUAGGGGCAGCCAGAGUAGCUGACCAAGCAAGACAUGCCUUGUGUAGUGGAUAUCCACUAGGGGCAGUCAGAGUAGCUGAUCAAGCAAGAUAGGCCUUGUGUAGUGGAUAUCCUCUAGGGGAGCCAGAUUAGCUGAUCAAGCAAGAUAGGCCUUGUGUAGUGGAAAUCCACUAGGGGCAGCCAGAGUAGCUGAUCAAGCAAGAUAGGCCUUGUGUAGUGGAUAUCCUCUAGGGGAGCCAGAUUAGCUGAUCAAGCAAGAUAGGCCUUGUGUAGUGGAUAUCCUCUAGGGGGAGCUCUUACUACUCAGGAGGUGAAAAAUAAAUACAACUGAGAAAACUCGCCGACUGAACACUGCAAGAGAGGACGAUGGAGAAUACAUAUGUAAUCUCCAUUAUGAACACCAGCUCUGGGCUCCCCCCCAUAUUCACACCAAUUUGUUUUUACUUUACUUUUAGUGUCAUUUGCAGGCCAUUUAAUAGCACACCAAUUACCAUCCUCAAUACAUUUUCUGACUUCCAACUUGUCUACUUUCGUGAUGCUAGACAAAUAUCAGGCACUACUUUUCUGUUAUCAUUUGCUGCAUUGUGAACACAAAGGUUUCGAGAAACUUCAAUGAACAAAAGCAAACUCAGAAGCUACACGUGUUAAUUUCGUACAGAUAAGUCUUGUAGCGUUACAAUUCAUGGCGUAUACCGUACGUCUUCACAUAUAACCCAACGGUUACCACGAAUGUUACCACAGGAAUGUCCCCGUUGGGGAUAUGACUGUUACACAUGAAUGUCUGAUACACUUUCUCUUGUCUGUUUGAUGAUUUCACUUGAAAGAGUAUAGACUUUCUUGACUGGUGUAAAGAGCGAGGCCCUAAUGUGUGCAGGAGGGAGAUGCGUGUAUCUUCUCACGAAACAAGUUCGACUCCCAACUCAUUGCAGGCCAGCUGCCUCUACCAAGGCGAGUGCUUGCCGGGUACCCAAACAUCGAGCCCACAUGUCUUUGUGGGAGACGAGGCAUUCCCUCUGAGGGUAAACCUGAUGCGACCAUAUCCAGAUUCUUCUGGCCUUGAAGCCGCCAAGAAGAUUUACAACUACCGCCAUUCACGAGCCAGAAUAAUUUCAGAGAACUGCUUUGGGAUCCUUGCUGCAAGAUGGAGGACACUGAGAUGAGACCCAGAGGUUGCCCCAGAGAAAGCUGAGACCACGGUGAAGGCCUGCGUGGCCCUCCAAAAAUACCUUUGCAUCACAGACACUGACAACACAGAGUCAUCAACACGGUACAUCCGCCCCACAUUCUUUUGACCACUCCACAUCCACUAGGGACCUGCGUCCAGGAGAAUGGAGACAGGUGGUACAAUGGGACCGCCCUUUUGUGACAAGAAACUAAAUUGUGACACGCUCCCGGAGGGUCCUUUUCUAUAGAGCAUAAUUGGCAUUUACUAGUCUGCAGAAAUCCUUGGCGCUGGAAAAUUCAGGACCAUGGACAGGGAUCAGCACGAAGUGAACCAAAGGACUGCUAGCCGAUAUUAGCGCCACAAGAUUUUAAUCAAUCAACGACAACCUUUUGCCUUAUGCGAACUCCAGUGGAGGCUGCUGAGGGGAGGACGACUCGUAAUAAUGGCUGAAAUGGAAUCAAUGGAAUGGUAUCAAACACCAUUCCAUUCACUCCAUUCCAGCCAUUAUUAUCAAACGUCCUCCUCUCAGCAGCCUCCACUGGACAACUCCCCCCAGUGGCGUGUGGGAGGUUACCAGGACAAGGGCACAGGCAGACCAAAACAAGAGAUUAAGACCUGGCCUCACUGAUCAAUCUUCUCCUCCUCUCUCACAUGGCCAAAGUCAUCCUGGGCCUAAGACUGUAAUUGAAACGUUUGUUUUCCCGCUGAUGAUCUCAGAAAGCUCUCGGUGGUUUAGGUAGUGCGUGUGCAGAGGGACCGUCAGAGUGAGACUGCUGCUGCUGUCCGAUGGCUGCUGUCCACAGCUGAGUGUGUAAUGGAUUUAUUGAUCUCUGGGGCCUGUGUCGCUGCCUUACCUCUGUCAUUCCAGGCCCACAUUGCCUGGGUAUCCUUCCGUACUCCCAGGGUCCUAUCUGAUCAGUGCACACUCACGCAUCUACCGAACCUCUCUCUCUCACUCACUCACUCACUCACUCACUCACUCACUCACUCACUCACUCACACACUCACACACCAUAUGCAUCUCUUGGUUUUUUUUGCACGGAAGUUGCAGCCAUUUGGGUUGUAUUUGCGUUGUAAUUGUGUGUGAAACCUGGUGUGAUAACCAGUGCACGUUCCAGGUCAAAUGCGAUUUCAAGACACUUCCCACAAAGUCUAUUGGACUUUGACCUGAAGUGGAACCAGAAGCAGCACUAUGGUAUUUCAUGUUGUUGCCGGGUCAUUUACGUGGAGAUAUAAUAGAGAGUACUAGUGACAUCAUGUUGAAUAAAUGAUAGGAAGUACUGUAUCAUGGCACUCAAAGUGCGACGGGGGAGAGUAAGGUGUUACUGAAUAGCACCAUCGUUGUCCAUUUGCUCUACACGUUAUCGUGGUCGUUAGGUGGUGCAGAGCACAAUUACGUUU
rnacentral:lncRNA from 13 species